rnacentral:sRNA from 1 species
UAGUUCUAAGUAACUAGGGUUGGAGCC